rnacentral:tRNA from 1 species
GCGGUCGUGGUGGAAUUGGUAGACACGCAGCGUUGAGGUCGCUGUGGCUGUAAGAGCCUUGGGAGUUCAAGUCUUCUCGUCCGCACCA